GGAGAGGUCGCAUAGUGGCUGAGUGCGCUGGCUUGGAAAGCCAGUAGUGUCUGUAUGGGCACUCGUGGGUUCGAAUCCCAUUCUCUCCU
rnacentral:tRNA from 2 species